AAACCCUGAACGAACUUUUUGG
rnacentral:miRNA from 1 species